rnacentral:rRNA from 1 species
GACGAACGCUGGCGGCGUGCUUAACACAUGCAAGUCGAGCGGUAAGGCCCUUUUGGGGGUACACGAGCGGCGAACGGGUGAGUAACACGUGGGUGACCUGCCUUCAGCUUCGGGAUAAGCUUGGGAAACUGGGUCUAAUACCGGAUAUGACUUGGCCUCGCAUGGGGUUGGGUGGAAAGUUUUUUCGCUGGAGAUGGGCCCGCGGCCUAUCAGCUUGUUGGUGGGGUGAUGGCCUACCAAGGCGACGACGGGUAGCCGGCCUGAGAGGGCGACCGGCCACACUGGGACUGAGAUACGGCCCAGACUCCUACGGGAGGCAGCAGUGGGGAAUCUUGCGCAAUGGGCGGAAGCCUGACGCAGCGACGCCGCGU